CUUUGUAAUUUCUUCCUGUUUGUGUAACUCUACAUUCUUCUCUGUACACCUCCCAUCAGGCUUUUUUCCUUUUUUUAAAAUCUUAGUUUCAUGGUACAAUUUAUUAAUGUAUUAGGAAUUUGCCUUUUUAAAAAUCUGUCAAUGUUUGUUAAAGUUAGGAUUUUUCUGUUUAUGUUAGAGCUCUGGUUACAAAGCUGCCAACAGUUUGACAAGUCUGACCAGUCUCAUCUUUCAGGAUUACUUCUCUCUCCAGACAAAACCAGAUAAUUAAAAAAAAGAAUUCUGUCUGCAAAAAGAGUAUUUGCCCAGUGCCACAGAUACUGCAUCUGACAAGCCCAGCGUUCUCAAGGACAGUGAUUGUUAUUUAGCCCACUUUGUCAGUACUGAGUGAGCGGCAGAAAACAGAUGAUAAUUAAGUACUACAUCCCUGUUUUCCAAUCUGUUUCUAUUACCUACAGGAGUUACUGACUCCUUUUUUCCAAAAGAUUGCAUUUGUAUUAUAACAUAUUCUACAGAAUAUGUGCCUG